UGGCUAAGCUGGGAUAAAACGAUCAUGCCAAAAUCUAAAGGAGGCAUGGGCUUCCGUGAUAUGCGUGCUUUUAAUCAAGCUUUGCUAGCCAAGCAGGCUUGGCGCCUUCUAGAGUCUCCGGACAGUUUUUGUGCAUGAAUUCUACGUGCAAAAUACUAUCCCAAUGGGAAUUUGAUGGACACAAUUUUUGCUGGCAACGUCUCUCCGGUGUGGCGUGGUAUCGAGCAUGGUCUUGAAUUGCUUAAAAAGGGAUUAUUUGGAGGGUGGGUAAUGGUACUCAGAUUCGUACUUGACGAGACCCAUGGAUCCCUUGUGGACCUUCCUUCAAACCGAUCACUCCAAAGAGGAAUUGUCGUUUGA
rnacentral:rRNA from 1 species